CUGUCUCUCUGCUUUGUCUCUCUGCUGGCCUUGCGGUUUUAUCCGGCCGGAACCUGUACAGGCCUUCAAAAUUUUCCUGUUUCGUAACUGAAGCCUCAUCAUCUCUUCGGACAGUUUGCUAUAAAUGGUCCUCCAGCAGUUGUAUCUUUUCGCUUGGUUAUUUCCUACUCGAAAAUAAGCUCUACCCACACUAUUAGACCUCUUUGUUAGGCUGGCUUGGCUAUGGCGAUUGCUGCAGCAGCUGUUAUUCUUCCGGUGGUCGUCCUCUUCUUUAUCUAUGGCUUAGUCGUCAAUCUUCUUCAGGCUUUCUUUUUCGUUGUUGUGCACACCCUUUUUCGAAGAAUACUUGCCGAAAAAUUGGCAGGGUGGUUGGGAAGUUGUGGCUGGAAUUCAUUUGGAUGAUUUGGCUGAUUGAUUGCUGGGCUGUUGUUAAGACUUUUGAUUUGCUUACUGGAAAGCUUUACGUUUGGUUCGUGGAGUGGUAUGGGGUUGGAAUUAAGAAUCGGUUUGGAGUUGUAUGGGGUUAAGGUUCAAAAACACAAUCACCUCGCAUAUACUUCUACGGCAAAAUGGGAACACUUUUUGCAAGCUUCCCGGUGGGCGUCUAAAGCCAGUAGAGAAUACUAAUUUAUCUAAUAUUUUUAGGUUUACGUUAUCUUUAAUCAUGUUUGUUAUUCUUUUCGUCAGCGGUUCCUUCCUUAUGAUGCCACCCACUCCUGGUUUACUUGAUAAUUUAGAAAUUUAAAACUUGAAAAGAAAGCUUCCAUGUCUCAGUAUUCUGUUGCUACUUCUACAUUAGCUAGAGUUGCAGAGCUGUUACAAAUUGAAAGGACAAUAAUGGAAAUCUAUGGAGUUUUUCAAACCAGUAAGUUAGUAACUUAUUCAACAAAAAAGAACUAAUUUCCUGUUGUCCUCCAAGCAUAUUUUUCAUGAUAAUAGCAAAUUGUCUGGACCUCAGGGAGAGUCAUGGUUACACCAACUAGCUUGAAAACUUUUUAUGUAUUAAAUAGAUUGUUUGCUCAAGUCCUUCAUUCCUUUAUAAGAAUGCAGGGCUCUGGAGAAUUAGAGAACCAGAAGCUUAAGCCCAAGGGGUGGAUGAAGGCCAUCUGCUGCAGCUGUUGGCCGAGUGUCUCUUCAUGCGGCGAAGGUGGGAAUUUGGACAGAACUACGACGAUAGCAAGUGCAGAACAUAUGAUGGUUCAAGAUAAGCUGGAUCAGAGAAGUCAUCAUAUGAUCCUAGAGAAGAUUUUAGGGAAUCUAUAUUGGAGAUGAUUACAACAAGUACUAUUAAUGAGCUAAAAGAUUUAAAAAGUCUGAACUAUUAUGUUUCAAUGAACAGGGAAAAAUAUGGAGGAGUCAUACUUGAGGUAUUCCAUGAGGUCUGUACUUAUAUGUUCUUGAAUUGUAAAUACUACUCAUGAGCUAUCAGACUCUGUUCUUGAAACAGAAAAUAGUUCAGAUGAAAGUAAAAACGAUAACUACCAUGUGUUUCACUAAUGAAGUUGACAGAGUUGAUGUGUUUUUCAAGCAAGUGUAGAAGACAAAGGCGACAUUUGAACUCCGUCCUGCAAGAACACAUUGAAACAAUAUUACCUGGACACAACCGUUCGAUUAUUUACACUGCACAAAAUAUGUAAUUUUUAUUCCGCUCUUAAUAUCUUCCAGUAGGCUAUAAGCCUAUAUUACAUUACAUCUAUAUAAUGAUCGUUAGGUUGAAAUUCUAUAUGAAACUAUUUUCUUCUACUUGCUAC